rnacentral:rRNA from 1 species
UACGUAGGGGGCAAGCGUUGUCCGGAAUCAUUGGGCGUAAAGAGCGCGUAGGCGGCCCGGUAAGUCCGCUGUGAAAGUCAAAGGCUUAACCUUUGAAUGUCAGCGGAUACUGCCGGGCUAGAGUCCGGAAGAGGCGACUGGAAUUCAUGGUGUAGCAGUGAAAUGCGUAGAGAUCAUGAGGAAGACCAGUGGCGAAGGCGGGUCUCUGGACAGUUCCUGACACUGAGACACGAAGGCCAGGGGAGCAAACGGG